UAUGUCACCCAGGCUGGAGUGCAGUGGGAGAAUCUUGGCUCAUUGCAAUCUCUGUCUCCUAGGCUUAGGUGAUCCUCCUGCCUCAGCCUCUGGAGUAGCUGGGGCUACAGCACUUUGUUCUACGCUCCAGCCCCUGUGGGAAAUGAGGGUAUCUAAGAGACUGCUUCGGCAUUCAGUGAGCGCACAGGUUAGCAGGCUGUUAAGAUGAGAAGGACCUGCUGUUUCACAUCAGACGCCACAUCAAAAACACUAAAAGCAACGUGGAAUGGAAUUCAGACAGGUCAGUGUUUGCGGGUGGAGAGAGGGAACAUGCAGGAAGAGGUCGCCAGGACUGG